rnacentral:rRNA from 1 species
CCCAGGGCUCAACCCUGGAACUGCCUUUGAUACUGGCGAUCUUGAGUAUGAGAGAGGUAUGUGGAACUCCGAGUGUAGAGGUGAAAUUCGUAGAUAUUCGGAAGAACACCAGUGGCGAAGGCGACAUACUGGCUCAUUACUGACGCUGAGGCGCGAAAGCGUGGGGAGCAAACAGGAUUAGAUACCCUGGUAGUCCACGCCGUAAACGAUGAUUGCUAGUUGUCGGGCUGCAUGCAGUU